GGGGGGGGGGGGGGGGGGGGGGGGGGGGGGGGGGGGGGGCGGGGGGCCGAGGGGCUUGCUCCUGAGACGGUAGCGGCGGGCGGGUGGGGGACGCGGUGAGACCCUCCCUGUCAGACUGUGGUCACUUCUGGGAACCGUGGCUCAUACCGGAUACUAUCUUUCACCCCCUUGUUCCCUGUGUCAAGCCCUCAUUUCUUCCCCUUCUCGUCUCGUCCGGGCCUCAUUAGCUAGAUGGUAAGUUAACGGUUUACCAAGGUACCGCUGCGUAGCCGACCUGAGAGGGUGAUCGGCAACACUGGAACUGAGACACGGUCCAGACUCCUACGGGAGGCAGCAGUAGGGAAUCUUCCGCAAUGGGCGAAAGCCUGACGGAGCAACGCCGCGUGAGUGAUGAAGGUCUUCGGAUCGUAAAACUCUGUUAUUAGGGAAGAACAAAUGUGUAAGUAACUAUGCACGUCUUGACGGUACCUAAUCAGAAAGCCACGGCUAACUACGUG
rnacentral:rRNA from 1 species